GAUGAACGCUGGCGGCGUGCUUAACACAUGCAAGUCGAACGGAAAGGCCCAAGCUUGCUUGGGUACUCGAGUGGCGAACGGGUGAGUAACACGUGGGUGAUCUGCCCUGCACUUCGGGAUAAGCCUGGGAAACUGGGUCUAAUACCGGAUAGGACCACUUCUUGGAUGUUGUGGUGGAAAGUUUUUUCGGUGUGGGAUGAGCUCGCGGCCUAUCAGCUUGUUGGUGGGGUAAUGGCCUACCAAGGCGUCGACGGGUAGCCGGCCUGAGAGGGUGUACGGCCACAUUGGGACUGAGAGACGGCCCAGACUCCGACGGGAGGCAGAAGGGGGGAAUAUUGCACAAUGGGCGCAAGCCUGAUGAAGAGACGCCGCGUGGGGGAUGACGGCCUUCGGGUUGUAAACUCAUUUCGCUAGGGACGAAGCGUUUUGUGACGGUACCUGGAGAAGAAGCACCGGCUAACUACGUG
rnacentral:rRNA from 1 species